rnacentral:rRNA from 1 species
GUGUACACAAGAUAGAGCUCAAAUCAAGUCUAUUUAAACUUUACAGUCAAAUCCGCCUUCAAAAGUUAUUUCAAUUACUUUAUCCGUAUUAAUCUUGUAAAUGUAACCCACCUCUAACUUUUUUAUAAGCUGCACCUUUACUUGAAGUCCGUGAACUUUACAUGAAAGAAAGUUUUCUAAAGAAACUGACUGACAACAGCGGUAUACAAACUGAAAACAAAAAAAAGUAAAGUAAUUCGUGGUUCAUCGUUUAUAGGGCAGGUUCCUCUGAAUGGCUAUCUUGCCGCCAAAUCCGUUAAAUUUCAUUAUUAUUACUAUUCCAAAAAAUUUUGAUUAUAAGUA